rnacentral:tRNA from 1 species
CGGCCCGUAGCUCAGCGGCGAGAGCGUCCGGCUGUAGACCGGGAGGUCCCGGGUUCAAAUCCCGGCGGGCCGA